CCUACGGGAGGCAGCAGUAGGGAAUAUUGCACAAUGGGGGAAACCCUGAUGCAGCGACGCCGCGUGAGUGAAGAAGUAUUUCGGUAUGUAAAGCUCUAUCAGCAGGGAAGAAAAUGACGGUACCUGAUUAAGAAGCCCCGGCUAACUACGUGCCAGCAGCCGCGGUAAUACGUAGGGGGCAAGCGUUAUCCGGAUUUACUGGGUGUAAGGGGAGCGUAGACGGCAGCACAAGUCUGGAGUGAAAUGCCGGGGCUUAACCCCGGAACUGCUUUGGAAACUGUGCAGCUAGAGUGCAGGAGAGGUAAGUGGAAUUCCUAGUGUAGCGGUGAAAUGCGUAGAUAUUAGGAGGAACACCAGUGGCGAAGGCGGCUUACUGGACUGUAACUGACGUUGAGGCUCGAAAGCGUGGGGAGCAAACAGGAUUAGAUACCCCUGUAGUC
rnacentral:rRNA from 1 species